GAGCAGCGCGCACCAACAUGGCCUUCAAACUACGAGGACUGCCGGGUGGUGGAGAAGAGGAUCGAGGACUUCACUGAGUCACUGUUAAUCUUGCUCAAGUCCAAGUUGCUGGAUGGGACCCUGACAAGCCUGGGGAAAGGAUCCCCGUCCUCUGCUCCUUGUUUGAGAAGGAGAACUUCAUGGGACUGGACACAGACUGCAGAGAGAUCCUUUUAGGGUCAGUGUGGAGACUUCCUCCCGCUUUUCAGCCAAGACCCCUGGUGGGACCCCUGGAGUUGCUGUCCAAUAGAGUAGCCACAGCCACUGAUGCUAUGAGCACUGGGGAAGAGGCUGGUCUGAGCUGAGAUGUGCUGUAGGUCAAAUGCACAUCAGACGCUGAGACUUGUCUAGUAAAAAGGCCCUGUGAUCUACACGUCCGCACACCCUUCUGCUCCUUGGGGAUGAGGUGGCAGGUUUAGGUGCCUGGGCAUUGCUGUGGGCACAGCUGCCAGCACCGGGCUACACCGAGGCUGGCUCCGUUCACCUCACAUGUCACCUCCUGCUUAUCCCCCAGGCUUCAGUCAAGAUCGUUUUGAUUACUGAGACCCUCGAAUUCCCAUAUGAAUUACAACAGCAGCUAAUCAGUUUUUGCAGAGGAGCCCAAUGGGAUUGUGAUCGAGACCACGUAGAAUAUACGGAUCACUCUGGGGAGCACUGCCAUUCCAAGAGCACUGUCUUCUGAUCCAGGAAUGUACGUGGCGUGUCUGUCCAGGUGCCCUCACAUCCAGUGGCAUCCAUCCAGACACCAACACUGACACUGGCCAUGCUCAGAACUACCUCAGCCCUGAAGACACAAGUGACAAAUAGAAGGGGGCCGCGCCCUGUUACAGCAGGUGCUCUCAUUUUGUGGGUCCUUAUGUAACUGCGCGGUGUUAAUCAGGAUCGCCCGUUCUACAUUGUGUGGCGCUGCUGCGGUGUCUCCUAGUUAUCUGUUUCUGAGGAUUACGGCCUGCUGCUAGAGUGUUUGAUCAGGAUAAAUGAUUUGUUUCUAUAAGAUGCCACGUACAGUCACAAGCUCAGUGAGAAAUGGGCUGUCACCUCUUCAUCUGCAACUCAGUGCUCGACAGGACAUCGGGGCAAAGCCAGUCCGUAAUUUGUUUGUGAUGCAACUGUCCACGUGGGUCAAAUCAUGGUGCCCCUCUAUAACCUCCAAAAAAAACCAAAGUUGAUUUUCUAUUUUGCAACUUGCCAUCUCAACAUAAGUGCAGAAGAGUUAACAUCGUGAAAGAUCAGAGCCCGGAGAAUAGGCUCUCCUGGAUAUUUCAGGCUAAAGGCAACUUUCUUUUACAAAAGGAUCUGAGAAGCAGGAGCAAGGAACGCAGGGAGAGAUCCAGUAAGACAUCUGACUGUGUUAAGAGACGACAGUCAUAGCCACACCGGGAGCGAGGACACUUGCAGCAAAGUAAAACGACUUCACAACUAUUGCAUCAGAGCUGCCGGUGUGAGAGAGCCUAAGCCUGUCUCAGAGUGCAGGGGACAAGCAGAAAGGAAUGUGUAAGAAUGCUGGUGCCUGAGUUAGAAGCAUGCUUCAAAGCUGUCCGUGUCCUUGCCAUCCAGAAGCAGAGCCUGGGAGCUUCCUAAUUUCUCCAGAAUGGGGUUUACAUUCAUCUUCGACAGGCUCCUCCGCUCAGAUGUAAGAAUAUCCCCUUUCGACUUCUUGAUGCAGCUCCUUAAUGAAGAUCUCGUGAAGGAAACUUAGUCAAAACCUGGGAGAUCGUUUUGGUUACUGAGACCCUCGAAUUCCCAUAUGAAUUAUAACAGCAGCUAAUCAGUUUUUGCAGAGGAGCCCACUGGGAUUGUGAUCGAGACCACGUAGAAUAUACGGAUCACUCUGGGGAGCACUGCCAUUCCAAGAGCACUGUCUUCUGAUCCAGGAAUGUACGUGGCGUGUCUGUCCAGGUGCCCUCACAUCCAGUGGCAUCCAUCCAGACACCAACACUGACACUGGCCAUGCUCAGAACUACCUCAGCCCUGAAGACACAAGUGACAAAUAGAAGGGGGCCGCGCCCUGUUACAGCAGGUGCUCUCACUUUGUGGGUCCUUAUGUAACUGCGCGGUGUUAAUCAGGAUCGCCCGUUCUACAUUGUGUGGCGCUGCUGCGGUGUCUCCUAGUUAUUUGUUUCUGAGAAUUACGGCCUGCUGCUAGAGUGUUUGAUCAGGAUAAAUGAUUUGUUUCUAUAAGAUGCCACGUACAGUCACAAGCUCAGUGAGAAAUGGGCUGUCACCUCUUCAUCUGCAACUCAGUGCUCGACAGGACAUCGGGGCAAAGCCAGUCCGUAAUUUGUUUGUGAUGCAACUGUCCACGUGGGUCAAAUCAUGGUGCCCCUCUUAAACCUCCAAAAAAACCAAAGUUGAUUUUCUAUUUUGCAACUUGCAAUCUCAACAUAAGUGCAGAAGAGUUAACAUCGUGAAAGAUCAGAGCCCGGAGAAUAGGCUCUCCUGGAUAUUUCAGGCUAAAGGCAACUUUCUUUUACAAAAGGAUCUGAGGAGCAGGAGCAAGGAACGCAGGGAGAGAUUCAGGAAGACAUCUGACUGUGUUAAGAGACGACAGUCACAGCCACACGGGGAGCGAGGACACUUGCAGCAAAGUAAAACGACUUCACAACUAUUGCAUCAGAGCUGCCGGUGUGAGAGAGCCUAAGCCUGUCUCAGAGUGCAGGGGACAAGUGGAAAGGAAUGUGUAAGAAUGCUGGUGACUGAGUUAGAAGCAUGCUUCGAAGCUGUCCAUGUCCUUGCCAUCCAGAAGCGGAGCCUGGGAGCUACCGAAUUUCUCCAGAAUGCGGUUUACAUUCAUCUUCGACAGACGUUUCCAGUAAGGAUGGGGAGCAGAAGAGAAAACCCCCUGCUUCACUGUGGAAGCUGCUGUUUUGUGCAAAACUGACCAAAGUUUGGAGACCAGUCAUCAGCGGUGCUGGCAAAUGAAGAGACUUCGGGAUUGGGUGGGGCACUUGCUGCGACUUCCAGGUGACCUGCUGGCUGGGGGCUGUGAGGCGGGCAGUAGGUUUGCAGGGUGACCCGGGCAUAAUCCCUGGCUCUGAGGCUGCUGGUCUGACUAGCAAACCUAGGCACCCGCAGUCCUAAUGGGGCAGCUCGGGAUGUGGCCUGGGACACCUGCUGAGCUGAGGGUGAGAAGAGGGCUUCCCUGAGGGGGUGUCAUGCGGAGAGUGGGAACGUGUUCCUGCAGGGGAGGAAGAGCCUCUGAGCAGGGUGCUGGAUGCACAGGCAAGACCAGCCUGAGCACGGAGGCUUCUGGGAGCCAGAAGUCAUACAAU